rnacentral:misc_RNA from 1 species
CCCACUCGAUCUCUCGCCUGUCGGAUGUCGGUGUCAAUUGUCAUCGGUGUGCAUGCAAUACGGUGGAUUCAAUGUGCUGAGUGUAUUUUUCUCGAUUAUUUUUUUCGGUUUUGUAAUAUAAUCUCGUAGUUCAUAUGCCCGUUUUCGUUUCGUAAACAGUGCAAAGUUGUGUUCGUCCUCGUUCAAGUGACUGCAGUGAUCCGCGAAAAUGCCGAAAUACUACAAAAUAGAUAUUAACAAAACGGAAUGGGAGGUGCCAGAGCGAUACCAGAACCUGCAACCUGUGGGCUCGGGAGCCUACGGACAAGUCUGCUCGGCAUUGGACACACGCCACAAUAUGAAAGUGGCAAUUAAGAAAUUGGCCCGACCAUUCCAGUCGGCCGUACAUGCAAAAAGAACAUAUCGCGAACUUCGUAUGCUUAAACAUAUGAAUCACGAGAAUGUUAUUGGCUUGUUGGAUGUCUUUCACCCUGGCGGUAACUCACUGGACAGUUUUCAACAAGUUUAUCUGGUCACAAAUUUGAUGGGGGCUGAUUUGAACAAUAUCGUCAGGACACAAAAAUUAUCCGAUGAUCACGUACAGUUUUUGAUUUAUCAAAUUCUACGAGGUCUUAAAUACAUACAUAGUGCGGGGAUUAUUCAUAGAGACCUUAAGCCAUCAAAUAUUGCUGUGAAUGAGGACUGCGAAUUGAAAAUUUUAGAUUUCGGCCUAGCAAGACCGACAGAAACCGAAAUGACGGGAUACGUAGCCACCAGAUGGUAUAGAGCACCGGAAAUUAUGUUGAACUGGAUGCACUAUAAUCAAACAGUAGAUAUUUGGUCCGUGGGUUGUAUUAUGGCCGAACUGUUGACAGGAAGAACACUAUUUCCGGGAACAGAUCACAUUCAUCAAUUGAACCUAAUCAUAGAAGUAUUGGGCACACCAACUGAUGACUUUAUGAUGAAAAUAUCAUCAGAAAGUGCCCGCAAUUACAUAAAAUCGUUGCCGAUUAUGAAAAAGCGUAGCUUCAAAGACGUUUUCCGUGGUGCAAAUCCAUUAGCAAUUGAUCUUCUAGAGAAAAUGCUUGAACUGGACUCGGAGAAACGGAUAACAGCAGAACAGGCUCUAGCACACAAAUACAUGGAAAAGUAUGCUGAUCCCACUGAUGAGCCUACAUCGGCUCCAUACGAUCAAAGUUUCGAAGAUAUGGAUUUGCCUGUUGAACAAUGGAAGGAGCUUGUUUUCAAGGAGGUCGUCAAUUUCACACCGCACACAAAUUUCUUCCCACAAGACAGUGGUCAAGCUUAACUCUCCUGUCUAGAUUGAUAUUAUUGCAAUAUACAAUGAACGACGAGAUAAUCAGAGUUCAUGCACGGAACAACAUUAUUUAUGUUUAUGAAAAAAUAUAUUUACAUUUUUUUUUUUUUUUCAAUUUUAUUGUCCACACACACGCAUACACUUCACAAAUGAUGAUGUGAUAAAAGAGAGAAUUUAAAUUGUAAGAUUGAAACAAUGGAAAGAAGGUAUUCGUUUAACGUUUAUAUAUUGUAGCGACGAGUAAGUAGUCUUACUAGAUGUUCCGUUUUUUUUUUUUAUUGCUUACUUUCUAAAGUCGCAAGAAACACAGUUUUUUUGUAGGUUCACAAUCAGUAGGAAUGUAAUAAUUAAGCUAAGGAAAAUAUUUUCUCGGUUUUGGUUAUCCGAAGAUUUAGGAGCCUACCAGUAAUAACAACGAAGAAAUUAUACGAAUCAUGAAAGCUAACUUAUGAAUGAACAUUAAACCUAGACCAGGAAGAGAGUAGAGAUCAACACCAACUAGCAACCUAAAAGUACUUACCCUAAUCGUAGAGGAGAAUUUAUUUUUACAAUUUUUGCAUACAAAAUACUAUUUCCUGCAUCGAAACUGCUCGGUCCAAGGACUUUAAAUUGCUCUGAAAUCUUCCACCCACUUGAAUGGGAUAAUUUUCUCAAGGGUCCUGACAAUUCUCUCUAAGUUAUGGUUUUGUUAUAAAUUGAUCACUGCAGUGGAUGAAGAAAGCGUUAAUCUAGGGUCAUCUUGCCGCUAUAAAAGUCUACAUUUUAAGGACUCCGAAUCAUGUCACGACUCUUGAGGAGACAUCCGAAUCAACUGGGUCUAAUUUUGUUUGAAAAUUGCCGUAGAUUAUUGAAACUACUAAAAGUAACUGAUGAACGUACAAUGGUGCCAUUCUAUCGUGAUGCCUACUUUACUAUAAAAUUCGUUGUUCAUUUGAUCCAGAUGUUAAAAAUCGUUUUUCGAAAACAUAUUACGUGUAUCUAUUUGUUUUGUGUGUAGAGA